CCCCCGCUGCCCACCGGCCCCGCCUUCCGAUCGCCCCCUGGAGGGCCGAGCCACAGGGGCGGGUGUCCCCUUUUGUUCCCACUUGGGGCCUGGAGGGCCUCGCUGUGGCCGCAGAUGCCCCAUUUGGCCGCCCAGGGCACACCCCUCCAUCCCAGCCCUUGGGGCUGCUGGUGGGGGUUGGGGCCUAGGAAAGCCGAGUGGGCCUCCCCACCCGCCAGCCACCCCCACUCCGGGAUCCCCGAGCCAGCCCCGACCCUGCGGUAGCGCCUCAGAUCUCGGCCUUACUGGGGGAGGGGAUGCUGACGGGGCGGGCCUUUGGAAAUGCAGAUGAGUCGCCUCCCGCCACUCCUCGCCUGGGCUGAACUCUUCGUGGCUCACCCCCACCCCAAUCCAUUCCACCCUGAGGGCCGCCUUGGCAGCUGUGCAAGGGGGGUGGCGUUGGCGAGUCUGUCUAGGAUACCGACAGGUUCUUGGCUGGAGAAGGGGCAACAACCGGUUACCCGCGGAGUGGACAACCCUUCCUUCCCUUGGACAGCAGGAGCAGGCCUAGUUUGACAAUCCUCCCGUCAAAGCCGACCUCGCGUAAUUCGCGCCCUCCUCGUGUCCAAGAAGCUCCGCAGCUGGAGAUGGCGUGGCCCUUGAUCUCUACGCCCUGUCCCCACGACCCUGGGGGUGGAGAUGGCUGCCGCUGCUCGGACCAAGGAGAGAGGCGUCCAAACGUUGUGGAGUCACCUACCCUGUGCGUUCUCCAGCUGCCUGUGACCCCCCAGCAACCCCUGCCCGCGGGACUGGAGCAGAGAACUGGGUGUAACCUUGUGAGCCGUUCCAAAGUGUUGAAAAGAUAGGAUCCUGCCUUGUUGCCCGAACUCCUGGCUUCCACUUCUGCGUCAGCCCCAGUACCUGUGACCGCAGGUGGCGAGCGGCUGGGUGCGGGCAGUGCUUUGUGCUGUGGAAAGUCACUGCCCUCCAGUGCUGGUGGCCGCUGGGGCUUGCAGAGACCUGCGGCCAGGUGCCAGGUACCUUGGCAGAUAAGUGGCCUGGUCGCCAUUUCCUCCCUCGGGGCCCUUGGGUGUCCAGGCUCCUUCCUGGGCCUGGGGUUUUUAUCUCUCACCAGCCGGGUGUUAAAUAAUUGAUUUAUGGUUUCCAACGCCCCGGAAGUGGGCGUCAUCAGCCCCCACCUGGCUUGUGGUAGCUGGACUUUGCCCAUUUCUCUCCAGGCUCAGAGUCCCCGUUGGCCUCCCUGUGGCAGGGUAAUCACACAUGAGCUCGCCCCACAAAAGCUACCUGGUAUCUCCCCGACCUUCCUGGGGCCCAGCAGAUCUUGUGGCAGGAACCAGCUCGCUGUCUCCAGGACCCCAUUGUGAGCAAGAGGGUGGUGAGGGUCCCGGGACACCUUGCCACUUGGAAGCAGCCUGGGGAGGGCAGGUGUGUCUGGCUCCUGUGCCAGCCACGAGGCCUCCAAGGAAGCACUGAGCAGCUGGCUGGGCUCCUGGGUAUUUUUAGCUACAGAUUCAGCCUCACCAUCACCAUGAGAGCUGGGUCCAUAUCAAACACUGAGGCCAGAGGGGACUGGGACUCUGCCAGACUCCUGGCCGGGCAGGCAGGGUGGGUGGGGCAGUUGCAGCUGUUCUGCCUGCUCCCAGGCAGGGCUGUGCUUUUGCUUGUUCUCUGCAGCUUGUUGUCACAGAUAGUAGAGCACCUAGCCCCAUUUCUCAGGUGGACAAAAUAGACUGAGGUCUGGGGGCUUUUUUUCCUUUGAAGUUGACAGUCUUGCUAUGUAGUUCAGGCUGGCCUUGAACCAUGUACCCCAGGUUGGCCUGGAACUCCAUGGUAGUCCUCCUGUCUCAGCCUCCUGAGUGCUGGGUUUACAGGCAUGUGCCACCUGGCAGUCCAAGGAUGUUGAGGAAAGGCAGGCACCCACCCACAGACCAUUGUGGUGAACCAGGCUUCUUGAGCCUUCUCAGGAAGUUCUGCCCAGGCCCCUUGCCGGUUGGACAGCCUCCCUCCCUCCCUGAGCUUCAGGUCCUGGGUGCAGGGCUCGAGGCUAGCUGCAAAGGUAAGUGGUUCUCACUUAAUCCCAAACCCACGCUGAGUGCCCCUUUGCCGGGCUGUGGUCCUACACUGUUCGGAUCUCCAUCAGACUGGUGCCCCUAACACUUCGAGCUCUGGGCAGGCAGGAACGCAGUUGCUUCUCAAUAAACAUGUUGC
rnacentral:lncRNA from 1 species